rnacentral:rRNA from 1 species
GGACGAACGCUGGCGGCGUGCUUAACCCAUGCAAGUCGAACGGAAAGGCCCUGCUUUUGUGGGGUGCUCGAGUGGCGAACGGGUGAGUAACACGUGAGUAACCUGCCCUUGACUUUGGGAUAACUUCAGGAAACUGGGGCUAAUACCGGAUAGGAGCUCCUGCUGCAUGGUGGGGGUUGGAAAGUUUGGCGGUUGGGGAUGGACUCGCGGCUUAUCAGCUUGUUGGUGGGGUAGUGGCUUACCAAGGCUUUGACGGGUAGCCGGCCUGAGAGGGUGACCGGCCACAUUGGGACUGAGAUACGGCCCAGACUCCUACGGGAGGCAGCAGUGGGGAAUAUUGCACAAUGGGCGGAAGCCUGAUGCAGCAACGCCGCGUGCGGGAUGACGGCCUUCGGGUUGUAAACCGCUUUCGCCUGUGACGAAGCGUGAGUGACGGUAAUGGGUAAAGAAGCACCGGCUAACUACGUG